rnacentral:tRNA from 1 species
GGGGAGUUCGCAUAGCGGCAAUUGCAAGGGACUGUAAAUCCCUCGGGUUUCCCUCCGUAGGUUCGAGUCCUACACUCCCCA